GUGUAAGACCUCGGCGUACUGCUCAGUAACACGUGGACAAUCUGCCCUGAAGUGGAGGAUAAUCCCGGGAAACUGGGGGUAAUACUCCAUAGUUCGUGCUGACUGGAAUGUUAUGCGAACGAAAGAUCCGUCGCUUCAGGAUGAGUCUGCGGCCGAUUAGGUAGUUGUUGGGGUAACGGCCCAACAAGCCUGUCAUCGGUACGGGUUGUGGGAGCAAGAGCCCGGAGAUGGAUUCUGAGACACGAAUCCAGGCCCUACGGGGCGCAGCAGGCGCGAAAACUUUACCAUGCGGGCAACCGUGAUAAGGAAACCCCGAGUGCCAGCACAGGCUGGCUGUCCGCCAGUGUAAAUAACUGGUGAAGAAAGGGCCGGGCAAGACCGGUGCCAGCCGCCGCGGUAAUACCGGCGGCUCGAGUGGUGGCCACUAUUACUGGGCUUAAAGGGUCCGUAGCUUGAUAUGCAAGUCUCUUGAGAAAUCCGCCAGCUUAACUGGUGGGCGUUCAGGGGAAACUGCAUUUCUAGGGACCGGGAGAGGUGAGAGGUACUGCCGGGGUAGGAGUGAAAUCCUGUAAUCCCGGUGGGACCACCUAUGGCGAAGGCAUCUCACCAGAACGGGUCCGACAGUGAGGGACGAAAGCUGGGG
rnacentral:rRNA from 1 species